rnacentral:rRNA from 1 species
UACGGGGGGGGCAGGCGUUGUUCGGAAUUACUGGGCGUAAAGGGCGCGUAGGCGGCCAUCUAAGUCAGACGUGAAAUCCCUCGGCUCAACCGAGGAACUGCGUCUGAUACUGGAAGGCUUGAAUCCGGGAGAGGGAUGUGGAAUUCCAGGUGUAGCGGUGAAAUGCGUAGAUAUCUGGAGGAACACCGGUGGCGAAGGCGGCAUCCUGGACCGGUAUUGACGCUGAGGCGCGAAAGCUAGGGGAGCAAACGGG